AAAAAUUGAUUUUAUCAAAGAAAAUGGCACUUCAUUUGAUCAAUGGGAUAUUCAGGAAGAGAAAUAAGAGCAAGAUAUCAGAAUGGAGAUACUGGUGGAGUCUGAUUUGGAGGGACAAACCGCAACACUGAAAGACUGCAUCAACACUACGGAGUAACUGAAUCAUGGAUGACUUGGACUACUGUCAGAGUAACUGAACCAUGGAUGACUUGGA